GUAAAUGCAUUCCAUGUGCUGAGAAUCAAAACAGGAUAACUAGGGGUUUUAAUUGGAGGUGUGUACUAUUGUAUGUUAUAACAUCAGAAAGAGUUCUAUGGUUUGCUUUUUGUUGGACUAGGACGAUCCUCAAUGACUUUUAGUUUUCUGUUGAAUUUAGUUAUCACUGUCAUCACCAUUGAGUAGUUGAUACAUGGCAUCCAAUAUCUAAUAUAUUCAUUAUUUAU
rnacentral:misc_RNA from 1 species